rnacentral:rRNA from 1 species
UGGUCUUGACAUGUACGGAAUCCUCCAGAGAGGGAGGAGUGCCUUCGGGAGCCGUAACACAGGUGCUGCAUGGCUGUCGACAGCUCGUGUCGUGAGAUGUUGGGUUAAGUCCCGCAACGAGCGCAACCCCUAUUGCUAGUUGCCAUCAUUAGGUUGGGAACUCUAGCAAGACUGCCUGCGAAGAGCAGGAGGAAGGUGGGGAUGACGUCAAGUCCUCAUGGCCCUUAUGACCAGGGCUUCACACGUCAUACAAUGGUCGGUACAGAGGGUAGCCAAGCCGCGAGGUGGAGCCAAUCUCACAAAACCGAUCGUAGUCCGGAUUGCACUCUGCAACUCGAGUGCAUGAAGUCGGAAUCGCUAGUAAUCGCAGGUCAGCAUACUGCGGUGAAUACGUGCCCGGGUC